rnacentral:misc_RNA from 1 species
AUGAGCGAAUCAAGUCGAAACGUGAUGGACGAGAUAUCAAUCAACCAGCUCGGGAUGAAACGAGUCGAAUUGUCAGAUUCUCUUCGUCACCCUCUUCCUGAUCGUCAUCUUCGGAAGAUGAGUUCUGCGUGUCCACUUCGUCAGCCUCAUACGUGAAGCCCAUCGUCGAAGGUGCAUUGAAUGGUUGAUGUGGAGCUGGAAGAGGGAUGUUUUGGAAUGGCUCCAUGUCCAUAUCAUCACGCUUACACCACUUUUCUGGCCAGGACAAGUACAAAGGAAACGUGUCCAGCAAGCUCCACAGGAACAGUGACAGUUCUCGUCCUUGGCACAAGAGCAUCCCAAGCUGCGUGCCAACUUUCGCUGAACAUCGACGUCUGGAAAGGAGCUCCACGACGAAAGCAACCAGCCCACAACUUAUCAUAAUCUACAGAAACGAUGGACAAUGAUGAGAUCCAGUCAUUUUCCUUGAUGGGCCCACGAGCAUCUUCUUGGCAGUCGAGUUGUAGUGACCUUCAUGACGGCAAAUACGAUACACAGCGAGUCGACUCGACAUGUCCUCGCUAGAUCGAACUCGGAAGCUGGUGCAAGAAUCUCGCUCUCGCACACUCAGCCAGUUCUGAACAAUCAUCGACGCCAGGAUGCUGCUUUCUCCGCCAACCAACUGCCGUUUUUUUUGUUUUCUCUAUUUCCCGAAGGUUUCCAGCUCAUCUUGGGAAGAAGAUGGAUUCGACGCCAGGACCCUCCUCUCCACUCCGACCGACUCUUCUGGUUUUUCCCUGUACGUUUUCUCUGUAUUGUUCUGUUUUUCAAAUCUUCUUUGAAACUUUAA